rnacentral:lncRNA from 1 species
ACCUUUUUCCCUCUCUCUAUACACAUCUUAUUGAUUCUUUUUCUCGGGAGAACCCUGACUAAUUAAUAGACUAUGCUGCUUGAGUUGUCUGCUCAAGUUUCAACCCUUUGGUGCAAAUCUUUCUAAAGAAUAGCACCCUUUUUGGUCAAAAUAAAUAGAUCCCACUGACCCUAACUGAAACAUUCUUGGAUGAUUCAGGGUCACAAUGGUGGUCCGGACUAUGGAUGAGACCUGUGGGGACAGGGGAGGCAUAAACUUAGGGGGUGCUAAGUGCUUCCCAUGUAGCUGGCACUCAGUGAAUGUGUCAUGGUGGUCUUACCUGAAGGAGGCCUCACUUUGGGACCGUUUUUCCUUCUGUGAAGAAGAUGGCAACUGCUUCAAGGUAUAAGCAGGAUGGAAAAUCAGGCUGUCCUUGUUGUAGGAAGAAUCACUGACAGGGCAUCCCCUGCAAGGACAGGGUAGGUAGGCCACAUCAUGUUAUGACCUUUGAAUGGUCUUAAAAGCUGCCUCACCUCUGGAGUGGGGUCUUCAGGCAGGAAAAAGAAAAGAGGCUCCCAGGUCUGUAAGCUGGACCUGGUUUUUCUUCAGCCUUGGGAGCUGCAGGUUACCUGGGAGGGGGAGUUUAAAUUAAUGUGGGGUGUCUAGCCCUCAGCACUACUGACAUUUUGGGCCCAGUAACCCUUUGUUGUGGGGCUAGCGCCAGCAUUGUAGGGUUUUAGCAGCAUCCUUGGCCUCUACCCACUAGAUGUUAGAAGCACCCCCUUCCUACCUGUGACGAUCAGAAUGUCUCCAGCUGUUGACAAAUGUCCUUUAGGGAGCAAAAUUCCCUGUGGCUGGGGAUGACCGUGUUAAUGGGAGAGGCCCACUUCCAAGAUCUGCUUCCUUCUGAGCUCAGGCGGGAUUCCUGUUUCCUGAAGAACUGAAGAACCCCUCCUAAAGGUUUGGUCUCCGGACCCAAGGACCUGUCCCCCGCUGCAACGUGGGAGGGCUCUGGAAGGCCCCUCUCAGCAUCCAGCCUCACCACCCGACUUCCCAAGCUUGUCCCCGGGGCCUGUCAGGUGAGGGUCUUGAUUGUUCUGACAGGGUUUUGCUUUGGCCAGACCCUUGUGUCCUGUCCAUCGUUUAUUAGUGUUUUCUUUAAAAAGAAAAAAGAAGCAGCCCUUGUGUUAAAGGGACAGCUGGCUCUGUCCACGAAGAGUCUGGCUGCCCAGCCCUGUCCUUGCCUGGCUGGCGGUGGCCGACUUUGCUCUCCUCUGGCCGUCUCAGGCUGCCUCGUCACUGGACGAGUUCAAAGAUUCCAUAUCCGUGCCUUCAACAUGCAGGAAACAUCUGUGCUGAUGGUUCCCAGGGACCGUCUGGGGAAAAUCUCACCAAAAUGA